UAAUAAUAAUAAUAGUAGCUACGCACGGGCCAACGGCCCCGCGUGUCUUAAGGAAGAUUCCUUCUUAGAACCCUACCGUACCCCUGUGGGACCCUGACUAGAGGCACCCCACGCAUCACCCUCUACUCAGCUCAUAGGAUCCGAAGAUCUGAGCUUAUCGGCCUACCAACCCUCCGAAUUCGGCCAGCGUAGAGUUUCCUCGUUGCACCAAUGGGAUCCGAACCCAGAGGGUCGAUACAACGAUUCUUCGGUGCCACGGACUCCAUACCGGAACACCUACGGUGAGGGGGGUGGGAUCCGAACCCACGACCUCAACCUUAUCCGCCAGGAAACGGGCCGAAUUCGAGAUUCGAACCCGGGUCCGCAGGGUGAUAAGGAAGUGCUCUUACCUACUGAGCUACCCCCCCCCCCUCUGCAACCACAACCUGUACCUAAUCCUGCCCAAAUUGUACCACACCGGUCACCAUGCAGCCUAAAUCUACCUAGCGACACCUGCGACGCCAUACGCACGGGACCUGGACCCCUCCGGCUGGGCUCACCCAAAGGAGGACUGCACACUCGCGUGGAUGGCGCCGGGAAGCUGGGCCAGCAAAACACCGGUACGACGCCAAGGGCCUUGGAAGCUAUGAACAGCAUAUUGCGGGAAAACACCACUACGCCCUGCUGUGAGCUAGAUAGCAACCACAGGACAAAAGGGUGUGCUCAUAGUACGGAAGGAGAUGAUAGAGCCGAUGGAUGGACAGGUUUAUGGGUCUGCAACGCCGUGAUAUAUGAAAGGCGCAGAGAUGUGACGCAACCGGAACUUAGCGUGUUGAGAAGUAGUAAGACGAACAGGACAGUCAAGCCUGCGACAUACAAUGGCCACCCUGCGAUUGAAAAUCGAGUUGGUCAGAUAGCCGUGAACGCUGGAAACUGCAAGACGAUGUUGCGCCCGAGUUCAGAGGCGACUCCAGAUGUAGAUGUUCGGAUAAGUGACACACAUGAGGAGAGAGACACCUGGACGCAAACCACACAAGAGCCAAAAAAGCGUCAAAACCACACGCCCAAUUGUAAUACGGUGCAUAUGGAGACAGGCCCCAAUUUCAACGCCCAACUGCAACUGCACUGCUAAGCAGGAACUCUAAAUACCAAGCAGUCCAGCAGCCUACCGACAUCAGCACCACACGACUUUUUGAGCAACUGCUCUGUUACAAUGAAAGCGGCAACAAAUGGCAACAAACUUGGUGUUCGAUGAUGGGCCCAUACCCUAUACACACUCUCCGCAUGCACCCAACGGCAGAUCCCCUGAUAACAACUCUGAUCCUUAUCACCACACACGCUGUCAGCGCCACAUGCUGGGCUACAGUGGGAGGCUUCCACAUCUUCCUGGCCCUUGUCCGUAUCACCCUGGCAACCACCGGCAGAGGGGUGCCCCUCAUCCUGACCCACCUCAGCAGCAUCAUAGCCCGCCUCCUGAACUACAGCUGGCAUACUGCAGCCUGGGCCUCCCUCUGGAUCCCAAGCUGCUCUCUGGCGCUCUACGGAGGAAUGCAAAUUACUAGCAGGGUCCUCGCAGCCAUGACAAAACGGACAGUGCCCCACCUGCUAACAAUGACCUUUACAUGUCUUGCAGCAUUUAUGCUACUCCAGCCGCUAAUACUCAUGAUAUGCACGCACGAACACACCACCACCACCUUCAACCUACUCCUCGUAGGCCACCUCACAUACACAACCAUACACAUGACGCGCGGUCUGAUUCUCGCUGUCCCCGGGUUCCCACUACACAUCACAUGCCGCGCCCUAGCCAAGAGGCCCGUUACCUUCACGCGAAACCUACUAACCAUACUCCUGCUUAUUGCCAGUAUCAAACACACAGCUGACAUACCACUCCUAACACCGGCCAUCACAUGCGCAGCUACACACCUACUCACGCCCAUCACUCAUGCCCCCUUUACGGACACGCGCCUAACCCACCUCAUAUCCAUGUUCGCCCAAACACACACGGCCCCCCACCUGGAAACCUACGCCACACAAGCAAAGAUUUCAAUAUAUAAAAACCUGCUUGACGACACCGUGCAUUCAACGUGCCCUACACCAACCCCAUCACACUACCAGACUCCAGCUACCUGGCCUCUGACUUUGUUACAAAACACAUGGAGCCCCGUGCCUGCGCCCCUACAGCUCCGAGGGGGCGAUCAGCAGGUGGAAACCCGCACCACACCCACUACCACCGCACCCCCUGAACCUGGACACACACCAGAACGCCUCCAGUGGCCCAGACAAAUACAACCCACGUUCUUCAGGGAACAGCAGCACCUCAACUUUUGCACUGUCCAUGCCAUCAACAACAUGCUCGGCACACCGUGGCUGCAAUACUCAGCCGUGCUCGCCUUCUGCCAAGUCACACACGCUGCGCUUGCAGACUCACCAAUGCUUCACACCCUCUGGGCCCACCACUUUCGCCACAACGGGCUUUUCCACAAAUCUGCCAUCAACCAUUACCUCCGACAUCGCCCGGCACCUCUAGACGAUGCAGGGACACGACUACUCCUACGUGUAGUGGCAAGGACACUAGCGCCAGGACACUCGCAAGAAACCAUUAUGGGGCUACUCCCUGAUUGCUCCCGAGGCCUAGGCUUCAUGGUGCAUGACGGAGGCCCAUGCCUACGCCGUACGCAAAGAAAAUGAUACCUGGUACCUAGUCGACUCCUUAGUAAGAGUGGGCCGGAAACCCAUGACACCAGACCUCUGGUCCGCAAUUAAAGGAGAUAUAUUCUGCCUGCACCCGCACCAUCCUAACACACCCUGCGACCCGGCAACUUACCCCACUGUCCAGGGCCUCCCCAUGCCACCACCCCCACCCGCGCCCCCCACACGCCCCAGGGUUCGCAAAGGACCCAUCCAACAAACCUUGAGUGCCAUGGCCAGACGACCCACCAACCCUCAGCAGCAAGAACCCACCGAGGCGGCCACUGCCGCAGCGCCACUGGAAGCUAGAGCCCAGCCGCCCCCACCACGCGCACACACCCAACCCACCAUUCCGACCCUUCUUAUGCGCAACCCCAACCCCAGUCAGAACCACGGCCCCCAGCCCGACGCCAACCGAGUCCCACAACCGGCAGCCACGCUGCCGCAGGCACACCACCGUGAGGAUGAACGCCCUGCCACCCCCCAUAGCGCCGCCCGCCCCACACAACGGCAGCGCCGCAACGAGCACCUUGCAGAGGGCAGCCCCCGCAGCCCCACGAGAGCGCACGUACAGGCACGAGCAACCACUCACAAUAAUGGGAACGCACAUCAAGCUCCCACCUCCCCGCAAGCCAACCACCCGCCCGCCGCAGCCCCCGACCCCCGCCAGCCCCCCCAAACAUGGGUGCAAGUCCUUACAGCCAAUGUCACCACAGCUGGCACCACUGCACUACGCGCGCUAACCCGCCUAUCGCCGUCCCCCCGCAUAAGACCUGAAACCCCUACAAGCGCAGCCCGGCCACAACAACGCCACCGCCCGGACCCACCAGACAGUCCCACCACCCACAUCAGGGCUGCCCCACAAGCCGUGCCGCCGACACUCCCCACCGGACACCCCCCGGACGGCCAACCCCCCAACACCCCACCCGAGCCCACAUGGCUCCACAUCGCCACCCACAACGUGCGAGGACUAGGCACCAAUCUGCUCUCAACCUUAUGCCACCUGCGGGAAUGGAACGCAGACAUUGUGAUCUUCACUGAGACUAAACUUGGCCCUCGCACCCGCUGGCUCAAAGACACCCUCCGCCAGGAAACACUAGCAUACCGCACCCUUACAUCCACUAAGCCAGGUACAGAGCACUACAAGCGCCGCUCUGCAGGAGUGGUCAUGGCCAUCUCAAAGAAAUACCACUCAGGUGGCGGUAAUAAUAAUAGCUACGCACGGGCCAACGGCCCCGCGUGUCUUAAGGAAGAGUCCUUCUUAGAACCCUACCGUACCCCUGUGGGACCCUGACUAGAGGCACCCCACGCAUCACCCUCUACUCAGCUCAUAGGAUCCGAAAAUCUGAGCUUAUCGGCCUACCAACCCUCCGAAUUCGGCCAGCGUAGAGUUUCCUCGUUGCACCAAUGGGAUCCGAACCCAGAGGGUCGAUACAACGAUUCUUCGGUGCCACGGACUCCAUACCGGAACACCUACGGUGAGGGGGGUGGGAUCCGAACCCACGACCUCAACCUUAUCCGCCGGGAAACGGGCCGAAUACGAGAUUCGAACCCGGGUCCGCAGGGUGAUAAGGAAGUGCUCUUACCUACUGAGCUACCCCCCCUCUGCAACCACAACCUGUACCUAAUCCUGCCCAAAUUGUACCGCACCGGUCACCAUGCAGCCUAAAUCUACCUAGCGACAC
rnacentral:lncRNA from 1 species